UUUAAGGACGCUGCGCUGCUGGGUUUUAAUUUUAUUGAUGUGGUCUUCUUUUAGAAACGCACUACCAACACACCAUUUUAAUUCUCUUCCCUCUCUCUCAUUUGUUUAGACUAUAGAAAUACAAAAGGUUGAUGUUUGUUAUUGUUCUUUUUCAAUCCUUGUUAUUACUUCUAGUAUUUAAAAUUAUAAUACAAAAGAUUGAUGUUUGUUAUUGUUCUUUCUCUAUUCUUGUUAUUAUUUCUAGUAUUUUAUAUUUUGUUCUUUAAUUCUUGAGAAAUGAUGAUUUUGAGAACUUGAUUCAGAUAUACAAAACUUUUGUGAGGAAAAUGAUAUUAGUGUUCUUAUUAUGUGAGAGAUGUUUUUGCUUUUAUUGAGAGAGAUGUUUAUAUUGCAAUAGAUGUACAACAAUUGUGUGAUAGUUUGAUUUUUAUAUUGAGAUGCUUUUAUUGAUAAUGAGCAUAUUAUGCAACCGUUUCAGGACAUGAAGCAUUGCCAGCAACAAUUGCAAGUUGUUUAUAUUGAUAAAUUAUUAAAGACAUUAAUAUUGUCUAUUAUCUAAAAGAAUUUGAUUGCCUACAUUUUUUUUUAACCUAUUAUGCUUUUAAAUUUCGCCCUUCCCCUCAAAAAUUUCUGGCUUCGCCACUAACUACAUCCACCGUCCCCAUCAAUAUCAUUAGUUAUGGCAGCCGCGACAGCAGGAGUAGCAAAAGCAGCACCAGCUCCAACCAAGAUCACCAUCCCACCAUCUUUUGUUCCAUUUCUAGUAAUAUUAUUUCUUUGAUGAUUUGUACCUGCACAUCUUUCA
rnacentral:lncRNA from 1 species